GCAUGCACACACGUCCGUGAACAAAAAUUUCAUUCAUAUGCUUGGGUUGUUUCCUCCUGAUGUAUUCUUUAGUUAGCAGUGUGAAUGGGGCAGCUAGUAUUCAUCUUAUUUACCAGUAUGGAUCAUUAGUGAAUGCUUAAUAACUGUAGUAAUAUGGGUUUUAUAGAAUUUGAAGCUCUUUCCCUUUAGUGCUUCUCCUGCCAUGUGCUUUCAGCCCUUCAGAUGAGAGUCCUAUGGAGGCACAUCAGGAAAGAGAAUGUGCUUCUAGGAAAAUACAAGUCCUCAGUCUGUCAGAACAUAUUAAGUGUUUGCUGAACCAUCAGUCAAGUCUCCAUCAAACCUGCUGUCUUUGGGCCUGAUCCUGCAUGUAUAGAAAUGAAUUGGUGCUUUCUUACUGUUCAGCUGAGAAAAGAAAAAGCCCAUUGUAGUCUAAAGAGAGCCUGAGAUUGGAGCUCAUUAUGCACUGCUUGUCACUGCAUAAGGGAGUCUUGUUCCUUCUGACAAUCAGAUUGUGGCCUAAGUUGUAAAGCCUGGUAUAAUGUAUUUCCAUAUGCAGUCUCCUGUAUUUGUAUAGUUUAUAGCAAAGACUAUGAGCAUAACUAAUGUUUGUGUAUGGGAUGGCAGAAUGAAAGCAACUAUUGAGCUUUCUAACCAUCAAAGGAAAUGCAGACCCCCUGAGUCUGAAGCUUUGAUUUAUAUGAUCCUGAAUUGACUUACACAGUAAUAAUACUCUAUUCUUUCUUCUGGACCUCAGACCUUCAAAUGGGGCCUGGACUUAGUAUUUAGUGAUUUUUGUGUUACCAUGACAAUAUCUGAAGUUAGUCAUGAGCUUGAUUUUCCAGAACAGAUUGCACAACUUUCACACUUCUUUUUGCUCACCUCCUCAGCACUUACCUGAGCUUUUCAGCUCCCUGAAUUUUAGUGUCGGUACUGAAGAGCCACAACCAAACUAGAUUCAGCUCCACCUCUUAUCCACAUAGUUGUAAUCUAUAUGUUUAUACAGUUUUUAAAGCUGCUAGCAAGUGGUUUAAAAGUGGUUGCAUCUUCUUCCCUAUCCAGGCAGGUCUGUUUUUAAGAAGAGCCAGCACUGAAAUGAAUUAGUCCAAGACCAAAAUCUUCCUAUAUUUGGUCAUCGUUACAUCUUACCCCUACCCUCCUCUGGCAGACUCAAGGAUCAGGGAGUUUUGAUUCACUGUCUGAGGGAUUACUGAGGCUGAAAUGAACAUUUUACAGCAGCACAAGCUGAAAUGGCAUGCUACUGAAGAUGUGAAACUCAAUUAAAAGAUUUACCAGCUGUAUGGUUGUACACUUACAUCCUGAGUGCCAGAAUGGACUGUAUCUCUUCUAACUGGAUCAAAACAGAGAGGAAAUAUGAUCAUAAAGCUACUUCAAAGAACAUGUUCCCAAAGGUGAGAGCAAACAGCACAUUUUCAUUUCAGCAGCCUGCUCUGUAACAACUCUGUGGCUUCAUGUGAAAAUAAACAUAGCAGAAGAUAGACAAAACCUGCAUUGUGCACUCUAUCUGGUAAGCAAUGUCUUUGGCUCUCUGGUGCUGCCAGGGAGCAGCUUUUGAACUGCUCUGAAGAAAAUAACCUCUGGCAUUUCUUGUACCAUCAGUAGGAAUCCCUUACCUUGAGUAAACUAAGUAAGUACACAGAAAAGUUAUAAACCUCACCCAGUAGUAGAAUGAGCAAACACAAGGUUAUAAACAACUGAUCUCCAGAAAGGGGCUGAUUCUGAUGUUAAAUACACAGGUGAAGGAUCUUCCCAAAGGAUAUUUUCUAGUAAUUAAAAGUUAUGUUCGGUACUAAAGAAAAAGGGCACUUGGGGGGGAAAAGAAGAAAGAUGGUUGACUGGAAGGCAGGAGCUGAAUGCUAACACUGGGAUAAGACUCAGUGAAUCCCUGAAAUGGGUUUAGCAGAUGCAGAUAAAAUAAAUAUGGCAUAAAAAUUCUGAUUUUUUUUACUUUCAGUGGCUCCUGCUACCCAG